rnacentral:rRNA from 1 species
GUAAUUUAAUAUAUUAUCACGAAGGGGAUCGAGCUAAUUAAUUAAGUUAAAGUAGAGCUACAAUCACAUGUUGCAACAUGUGACUACUAUAAUUAAUUAGGGGUGAUAGGCCUCACAAGAUCUUCGAUAUCUUGUUUCCUAGGAAAUAUAUUAAGUAUAUUUUCAACUUAGGAGUGUCUAGGCUUUUAAGUUCUACCAAUUUAAUUGAUAGCAUAGUAAACUACCUAACGGUAAUUACCUAAAUAGAUUAAUAUUAAUUAUUUGAGACUUGUAUGCUCUACUAGGACAUAUAUAACAAUUUAUUAUAUAAUGUUACUGUUAACAUUAGUAUUACAUUAAAGUUUUUGAAGGAACUCGGCAAAUAACUUCUCAACUGUUUAUCAAAAACAUAGCUAGGUGAGUAUUAAUAUCUAGUGAUUCCUGCUCAAUGGUUAACCUAAAUAGCCGCAGUACCCUGACUGUGCAAAGGUAGCAUAAUCAUUUGGCUUAUAAUUGAAGUCUGGCAUGAAAGGAUAAAUGGGAAGUAACUGUCUCUAUAAACUUAUUAGAAAUUAUUUAGCAAGUGAAAAUACUUGCUGCUACUUAAUAGACGAGAAGACCCUAGAAGUUUCUUACAUUAGUUAAUUAGAAUAUUAGCUACUAUUUUGUUGGGGCGACAGAGUAGCAGUAAACCUACUUUAUACAAAUCAGAACCACAUAUCGAGCUAAAUUAAACUACUCUAGGGAUAACAGCAUAAUUUAUUAAAGUUUGUGACCUCGAUGUUGGACUAGGGACCUUAGUGCUUAGAAGGUGCUAAGUCAAGCUCUGUUCGAGCUAUUUUCCCUACAUGAUCUGAGUUCAGACCGGC